UCGAAAUUCUCGUUUGCUCUCCCCCUCCCAUCCCGCGCCCAGCCCAGAAACCCACCCCCACACCCACGUCGCUCAACCCCACACCCACCCCCGCUCAACCCGCAUCGCCCAGCCCUAAACCCACCCUCACCCCAACUCUCGCUUCGCUCUCCCCACCCUCGCAUCGCAGCCCAUCCUCUUCCCCACCCCUGCAUCGCCCAUUCUCUCCCCCAUCUCCCCGCGUUGCCCAUUCCCUAUCCUAGUUGCCCCGUCACCAACUCUCUCUUUGCUCAGAACUAUAGCUUCUAUCAACCCUCCCUCUACCCACAUAACUGAUUGCGCUGAUUGAAAAGUUUUAUUUUUGCUGAGAGAUCUGUGACCACGAGCGAAGGAACAAAAGGAAAAAAAAACACCGAGAAGAGCUGGUUUAAAAUUCACAAUGGCUUCUUUAUAUUUCUAUCUAAAAUAUCUAUAUAAGAAAAAUGGCCUUAAGCAAGAGUAGAAAGAGAUUAAUCUAAUAGAAUGCAUCUUGGUUCAUUAAUUGUAGAUAUUGAACUACCAUUCCAAAUCUUGGGCAUAAGCCUAGAAAAACUAAUUUUGUCUACCAUUAAAGUAAGUUCAAGUGAUGGCUUAUAUUUUAUUUUGCCUUUUAAAAUGUUUGUUUUAAGCUACAUGCACCUGUCUACCAUAUGAUAUGAGAUAAUGGCAUGCAUAGAUGUCUUGUUGGGUUCCUUACUAAAGUUUUAAGUUCCUGGUUCAUUGGUUUUACCUGUCACAUGUGCCUGCUUCAUUGGUUUUUGAAAGGAUUUAUCCUAAUUUCGCAUGAUAAUGAGCUGCAUAUAUUGGCUUCCUUGAAUUUUGGUUAAGCUUAAAUUUUCUUCAAUCUUUGUUGCUCAUACAGUCACUAGGCGCUAUUACUAUGUUUUCAAUUUUGUAAAUGAGACAAACUCUUGUGUUUGAAUUUGUUUAUCAUUUUUUAGAUUCACACAAGGCAUCAUCCCAAUCAUCAUUUUUAUCUAAUGAUAAAGUGAUGGAAUCACCAACUUGUUGGUGUGGCUUGAAAACAUCAAUAAAGACAUCCCACACUAUCGUUUGGACAGAUAUAUUUCAUUUGCCAAAUCAGAAUAUUCAUAGAAGAGAAAAUAAAGUUUGGAAGAUGUGAGAUGACGUAUUGUUUGCUCAGUGCGAAGUUCAAGAAAGGGAAGAUAAAGUGAGAGAGAGAGAGAGAGAGAGAGAGAGAGAGAGAAAGAGAACUCUUCAAAAUCACUCAAGAAAAUUAUUGUAUUUGUAUUGGGUUCUCACAAUUGUAAUAGUUUUACCUUGGUUUGGAUAAAUUGUAUGUAAAUUUACACGUUGUAUGGAGUACAUUGUUUUUAAAUGGUUGUAAUGUAAUUGUACUCCCUAUGUUUUGGUUCCGAUGUACAAAAGGGAAAUUUGUAAGUUGUGAAAAAUUAAUGUGUGCGUUAAUGAAGUUUCGAGUGUGACAAGUUUGUGCA